GUUCUAAUCGUCCUGAGUUCCGUUUCAGAUGUUUGAGUGAAGCUGAGGUCCAUCAAACAGAUCAUCAUUGUUCUAGCGAUUAGAAUGGAAUCAGAACUUCCUGUGUGAUGUCACUUCCUGUUGGUAGUUACUGUAAAUGUUCCUGUGUCGUUCUCAGGUUCCAGCGUGGUCCUCAGCAGAACCUCUAAGUCCUCUCCUCUGGUCCACAGUGUCCUGGUGGAGGAACCCCGGCCUCGUUACCGUCUGAGGAGCAGGAAGUCAGAAAGUCGCUCAUGAAGGAAACUUUGAUCUUCUGCUGAAUCCUGUUUUUAUUUUUAACUCUGUAUUUUUUUAAAAAAAUCAAUAAACCAGUUUUAAAAUGA